CCCGCCGGGAUGCGGGGAUCGGUCCCCGGGAGGAGGGGACUCAGCGGUGGCCACGCCACAGGCAGCGGCUCCGCUCCUUGCCUGGUGUUCGUGCGAGCGGACUCGUAGCUCUCUCUCACUCUCUCUAUUUUUAUUAUUAUUUUUUUUUUAGUUACUGUUCUUGUCCGAGCACCCGCAUGAGCGAGGAGCGCUGUGGUGGUGGAGUUCAUCCUGCAGAGCGCAGGUGGCAGAGUAAUUCCGUUUUCCCGCAGCAAUUGCCCUUUAAAAAGACGGAAUAAGAAAGCGCAGGGAGCUGAGGAACAAGAAGUUGCGGGGUGUGAGCUGCCCUUACCCUCUCUGGUUGAGUAACAAGAAAAGAUCAUGUGGGCAUCACCAGGGAAGGCAAAAUUCCCAUCAAUGUGAGUGUUGUUAGCCAUUAAAUCCUGAUAAAAAUGAGUGAAUCUCAGUCUUUUAAUCAGAAACUGCCCAGAAAUGCUUGAAAAGUUUGAGGCUGAGAGGAGCAAGAACAGUUGUGACUCAGCUCGAAUCCCCUCAUGGGAGGCUUUGACAGAAGCAGAGUGUGCAGACACUGGGCGUGUUGGACAGAGCACGAGCCGAAGAUGGAUUUGACACAUAGAGGCACAUGUCUCACAGUCAAAUUAAUAACAACAAAAAUACCAAGGCAACAGUGAUCAGCAGAGAGAAAAUGUACACAAGAAAAGAAAAUGCACGCUGCAGAAUUUUUCUGGGAGUUUUGUAUGUCCUUCCCAAGUGAUUUUCUGCAAUGGGGUCAUCCUCUGUGGGCCACAAGGUCAGAGAACUUCCCAGGCAGGCUUUAAGUUAAAGUUAAAUUUGGUUCAAAGGCAGCUCAGGCUCCAUUCAAUGAUGAGUCCUGAGAGACCAGACAAGACGAGACAAUUUGUGCACUCUGCCUAUUUAAGGAAUGAGAAUGAACUCAUUUGAAGGGUCACAGCUUCGUGCCUGUGAAACGAUGUCUUUGAAGAGCUUGGAACAGGCAAGUCAAGACUAAACUGGGCACAGGUCAAUUUUUCCAUGUUCUUCACAGCUACGGGGAGGAAACCACCCUGUUAAUGUGAAAUCCGCUCUCUCUGAAGCUGUUUUUAAAUGACAGAAUGGAAAAGGUUGUGUUUAACUCCCGUGGCCGAGUCGUAAGUCCCUGGCAGGGAAGUUGGAGUGCUGGGAGCUGGGACAGAAAACAAUCCCUCAGUUCCUGCUCAAGUGCAAGUCCAAGGCUGUUUGCAGCCUCCCUCCUUUUUAAGAGAUCUCAAACCCAAGCUUUAAUUUUCAUCUGUGACCUUUAGAACAUAUCAAGGGUUAUCUUGAUGCCUCAGGUUUAGCUUUUAUAUUUUUCACAUUCUGUGCUGAUUUAGUCUGUGGGUUUGGGCUUCACAUUAGGGAUGGUGAGCUCUGUGCACAGAGCAGGGAGACAAAACAAUUCCUGCUCCAGCUGGGCACCAAGGACAAAUGAUCCAAAUCUCAGCCCAGGAGCACAAA